rfam:Streptomyces sp. HGB0020 genomic scaffold aczIR-supercont1.1, whole genome shotgun sequence.
GCCGGUCCUCGGUAGUGGCCCCCGGGAGAAUGCGAACCCCGGGUGCUUCGAUCGAAGACCGGC